rnacentral:lncRNA from 1 species
GUUCCUUCAGUCUGCUUUCCUGUUAAUUUGGCCCUCACCCUGAUUUCUAUGCCUGUAAUGAGUAAGUCUCCUUCCUUUGGUCUUCCAUUCAGGCAACCAAAGGAAGACAAAGCCCUAAGACCUGAGCAAGUAUGGCCAGAGUCUCAGAGAAGGCUCUGCUUGGGGCCAUGUGGAUGCCCAGUAUGCCAGGGCACUGCUGAGUCCCCAGUGAACUGGGAUCCAGUCUACUGAUCCACCCACUGUGGUCAGGACAGGUAUAAGCCCGACCGGAAGCCAGCAUCCAACUUGGACGGAAUCCUCAGGACCUGACAGACCAUUCAUAAGAGGGCACGGUUACCUGCCUAUAGUUGACAGCAAAGUGUGAUUGCAGAUAACAACAUUUAGCCAUCAAAGGUGACCUUUUCCGAAAGUACACACUUACUGUUACAAGAUGAUGAACUUCUGGGGAUCUAAUAUACAGCAUGGUGACUAUAGUCAGCAAUAGGUUAUUAAAUAGUUAAAAGUUGUGAAAAGAGCACAUCUUAAAUGUUCUCACCACAAAAACAAAACAAAACAAAACAAAAAACCAUAAUUAUGUGAGGCCAUGAAUGUGUUAAGUAACCUUACUAAAUUUAACUUAUACUAUUUUGUAAAAGUAUUUGCUCUCUUUGAUAUAUUCAGAACAUUUUAAAACUGAAAAUGGCUUCAACUAACAAAAAAAUCAAUGUAUACCUUGAAAAUGCAUAAAUUUGGAAUUCAAAUCUGAAAGUAUUGACCAGUUAUCCUCUCUCCAGGUUUGAAAUAAAAAUCAAGCCAGCUUCUUGGAUGAUCACAUUGCGAGGACUCAGCACGGCUGCAUGAAAAGCACUGUUGCAGUAAAGUAGGUCCUUUCUUAGAAAUGGAACAGACAAAGCCUUUCAUUUAUUAUUCAUGGUGGCUUGUGCCCAUGUCAACUCCUGAUUAAUAAUUAAAAUUAAUCUCAUUACAGAAGAUUUCAUUACAGGAUAAUUUAAUUAAAUGAUGAAUUGGCUCCCAGAUGUUACCUUCGGUGCCAUCUUUUAAAUAAUGCUGAUGAUGACACAGGGAUUCGCUAAGUAUCAGUCGGGCCUUAAGAAAAUGAAUUAUUUACAGGAUUCUGCCAUUCUGCCGACAAUAAAUGAUACUGAUCACACCCUUGCAUUAUCCUUCUCCAAAGUCACUGUUUUCUCAAGAUUUCCGGUAUUUUCAAAAGGUUUUUAACAUCCAUUGGAAAUUUAGAACCACCAUUCUGUCAAUCAUAAAAACAUGUUUAUUCGGUGAAAAUCUUAAUUCACAGAACCUACUCAUUUUAAAGGAGAAGUAUACAAAGGAAUUUGAUAAUUAAAAAUCUGAAAUUUCAACUUCAAAAAAAGCAAUGGGGAGGAAAUGUAUUAAUUUUUGCACUCUGGUGCAAAAAAAAACAUUCAAUUAUGCCAAAUAAUCAAACAGCAUUAGGGAUAAAACUUCAGAAUUUCGCUUGAUUUCACUACAUAAAGUAACCAGUAAAAAGAGUCUCACAAAGUCAACGUACUUUUUUAAACUUUUCCAUAAACUAACAUAAGCCACAAUUUUAAUACUUAUUUCACUGUUAUAAACAUACUGCUUUCACUACACUUUACAGAAGAUACAGAUGCUGAUAAAUCAACAUAAGAAGAAAUGAAGCCCAUCAAACCAGACAUUUAGGGAUGAAAACAUUUAAGAGACAUUUCUUUAUUUACUUGGGAGAAAGUGUGAACUUUUUUAAAUGCCAGGGUGUAUGACAAAAUUUAGGCCAUUUCAAAAAUUAUCGGCCAAACAUAAAGGUUUUAUAUUAUUCUGCUUGGUUUUAAGGAUUUUUUUGCACUUUUUUUUUUAACUAGACUUUAUUCUUCAGAGAAUUUUUAGGCUUACAUAAAAACUGGGCAGAAAAUAGAGUUACUAUUUCUCAUCUCCCCCC